rnacentral:lncRNA from 1 species
UGGGGAUUCUCCAUCCAGUCCUGUCAUGGGAUUAUUAAAAUCAUUUUUUCAGGUUGUUGAUUACAUGUGCAGGUGUAAGAAAGUGAUCUGUACACAGGCGAGAUCACCAUAUAUCCCGUAGACCAGGGGCCGGCAACGCAAACUGUUGAAAGAGCCAUAUUGGACCAAGAAAACAAUAACAAAUCCGUCUGGAGCCGCAAAAACUGAAAUGCCUUAUAAUGAAGGCAACACAUGCUCUCCAGAGAGCCACUAGGGCGGCGCUAAAGAGCCGCAUGCGGCUCUCGAGCCGCGGGUUGCCGACCCCUGCCGUAGACCUUCCAGUUGUGGGCGACACAGAUCUCACAUUGGCAUCUGAACAGUACCUCUCUUCUCUGGAGCAAAUACCUCAUAAAACUAAAGAAUUCCAAUCUUCCACGACCAAUAAGACAACCAUAACAGUAAACAAUGUAACGCGCUUGCAGCUGUUUGAAGAUGGUGGAGCUGACUGCACACUGUUGGCGCUUCACCCCUCCGGUGACCCAACACAAGUCUUGGCUGUAUACCUGCAUGACGAGUGGUGGCCAGUGGAUGAUGUAUUACGAACCACAGUCGAAUCCAGACGUGGUUUGUUAUCGGUAACAGAGCGUCUUUACGUCAGUGAUUAACAAAUUAUGCUUCUUAUUGUUUAGUAAAUUAACUGGCCUGAAAUGUGGAGGGGUAAAAGUACAAUAGAGGAGCCUGGAGUUAAAGUACACUGCAACGGAAGAUAGAAACUGGAUCAACUGGAGCCUCAAAACUAUGUGAAAGGCAACAGGAACAUGUGAAUGUAGUAUUUUUUGGUAAAUAUAGGACUUGUGGGAACAGUUGGUCCUCCUAAAUCAGUGUUUUUUCCUCUCCAGGUCAAGUCGAUUGUGGAGAGGGUGAUAGUGUUCCUGCUCAGUUGGGAUGUGGACAGAUCUUUGGAUGAGACCGUGGCUGUUUCCGAAACCACACACUCGUUCCCUAUUCACUACUCACUACAUGGGGGACAUGGAUUGAGUGAACUACGUAGCGCACUCAAUUCAAAAUUAGCUUUCGGACACUACGGCGCACGUAAAAUGACGUAAUGUUGUCGCAUAAUAAUAACGAACCGUUCCCCGUUCCCCGGGAAAAGUGGCCAGGUCCAUUUAAUUAUUUUAACCCAUCCGAAACAUACCCAACCACAUUCAGCGCUCGUUUCUUUGAAAGUGCAAUAUUUUACCCUAUUAUAUCUUUAUAUAAUAAUAAUAGAUUAAAAUAUUAAUGUCAAUAACAAUAACAUAACACUUCCUUAUUAUCUCAAAUAAUUAGUGUCCGGUGACAUUUUCGCGCCAUGACAUGAUGGUACAUUCUCAAAUAUCUAUAUAAGUAAUACAGGAAUUUUACAUACAGGAAUUUUACAUCACAAAAUGGCUCCAGAACUGCUUUUCAUUAUCUUUAAUAUUCUUUUGCUGCGAUCCCGCCGUCUGGUGAGGAACAGACGCGUCCGAAGGACAAUUUUGGCUCUAAGAUCCAGAUAUCAAACUGUAAGUGAGGGGGGGGGGGAACAUUUGAUGGUAGAUUGAUUUCCACAUUUAUGUGUUAUUUUAAGAUGAUCAUAUUGUAUCAAACAGCACAGUGGAAAAUUGCCUUUAAAAAAAACAACAACAACUUUGUUUUACCAACAGAACGAGCAACCAUCACAGUAUUGUGUGCAGAACAGGCAUGUUCCAUUGCUGGCGAUGUACAUUGAUGGCCAAACUGACCUGAAUCGAAAGCGGGUAAGGACUUCAUCGUGACGCAGGAUGGACGACAUGCAAGUGGCCUUUUGCCCGUUUUGUGGCAAACAUUUGAGCAGAUUGACGCCGAUUUGUGGUUUCUGUGGUCGGUCUUUGGCGUUUUCUGAAGUACGUACAACGUGAAUCAGCUGUACCAUUGGUUAGCGGCUGCUAACUUUCUAACUGAAGAAAAGAAGGACAUUGUGGCAGACUACGUCCGAAGGUAUGUCAUUGACCUCAACUCAUCUGUAAUUGACAGGUAAGUUAAAUUUUCAUUUGUUUUUUGUCGUUCCACCCCACCCCCCAAAAAAUGAAAUUUGCUUGAAAUGUCUCAUGGCAUGUAUAUCUAUGGUGUUACAACUGCUAGCCUAUAUGUCUGUCUCUCCAUUCUCUGCCUUAUGCUAAUGUAUAAAUACUCAAUAUAACGAACAAAUAUAACCUUAUAAACUUAUAAAAUAAUAAACUUAAGAUAAUACAAUUUAGGUAGUUUAAUUGGUUGUUGCCGUUGGCACUACACAGCAGUGAAAGUGUUUGUGUUCACUUUGUAGAUUCAAAGAUGGCCUUUCAGCCCUUCAGUUUCUGACAGCACUACAGCAACACCCUUCUUUGCUGACCCCAGUUCUCUGCCACUCUGAAAAGCGACUAACUGGCUUUGACAUUGAGAGACUUUACACCUGACGUCAGCCCUGCAUUUGCAUUUAGGCUACUGUCCUGAUUAGUUGGAUCUGCAGAGUAUGUACUGGAAGCCAAUAAAUAAAAUUCCUGAACAACAUUUAGGGCUUGUUGUUAUUGAUAUGCUCCGUAAGGUAUCCCAGAGGGGGCUGCUAAAUAAACACCUGAUUAUUAAAUUCAUGUUUCAGCUCCCGUUUUUCUUUUCAGGCAGCCUCUGGGACACCUGGAGUGGUCAGGGCUACUUGCUGCCUGGGUUUGGACACGCCUGGUUCAAAGCCUGACAUAAAAGGCACAACAUCAAAGACUAAAGCUCUACUCCUAAACAUAAAUCCUAAUAUACUUAAACUAUCUACUUGUGUUAGUGAAACAGCAUAACAGAAUAACAUAAGAGAAGCUGCUAAAGUGAUCUACAUUUUAAACAAAAAAGUAAGAACAGGAAGACCAAUGGAGAAGAUACAGGAAGAGAACAAAAAGCUGCUGAGGUCAGUGACGGAGCUUCAGCAUGAAGUCAGGCAGCUAAAAGAACAGCUGGCUGAGAAGGACGAGCAGUUGAGCCGGAGCACCAAAAGGCGCCAGAUAAGAACAGUGGCUCAUAUGGACACCCUGACCCAGCUGAACCAGGCAAGGGCUGAUCUCACAGUCAGCCAAGAGAAGUGCGCUGAUCUGGAGGAGAAGUUGCAGUGGAACCAAUGACAGCCACCAGAGUCCGGAGCACGGAGACCACGUAGAGCUCCAAGAAAGAAGAGGCUCUGAAACUGCAAUUCUCAGAAAAAGAACAGCAGAUGGAGGCGUGGAUGAGGCAGAGGCUCAUUGGCGUGCAGGAAGAAUUCCAGAGGAAGCUCUUGGAGGAGAGAGAGAAGGACCAGCGUGAGAUGCGUGAGAGAGAGGGAGGCUGAGACAGCAGCUUGAGAGAGGGAUGAGGGAAGAGAGGGACGACUGCUUGAAGAAGCAGCUGACCACGUUGAUCGAGUCCUGGCAGACCGAAGCUCAGCGGUGGAGAAACACCAGUCGGAGCUGGAGGAGAAACUCCACGAACAGAGACCCUGCGCAAACA